ACGGGUGAGUAACACGUAGGUAAUCUGCCUUAAGGCGGGGGAUAACAUCGGGAAACUGGUGCUAAUACCCCAUAUGUGCCAAGCUGCAAUGCUUGUCAUGAAAGCUCCGGUGCCUUAAGAUGAGCCUGCGGCUGAUUAGCUUGUUGGUGGGGUAACGGCCUACCAAGGCAAUGAUCAGUAGCUGGUCUGAGAGGAUGAUCAGCCACAAUGGAACUGAGAAACGGUCCAUACUCCUACGGGAGGCAGCAGUAGGGAAUUUUGCGCAAUGGGCGAAAGCCUGACGCAGCAACACCGCGUGUGGGAUGAAGCUUUUCGGAGUGUAAACCACUGUCAGAGGGGACGAAACCUGACGGUACCCUCAAAGGAAGCAUCGGCUAACUACGUGCCAGCAGCCGCGGUAAGACGUAGGAUGCAAGCGUUGUCCGGAAUUAUUGGGCGUAAAGCGUUCGUAGGUGGCCUGUAAAGUCUGAUGUUAAAUCCCGGGGCUCAACUCCGGUCCAGCAUUGGAUACUUACAAGCUAGAGUGCAGGAGAGGCAAGGGGAAUUCCUAGU
rnacentral:rRNA from 1 species